GAUGUUGGGUUAGUCUCGCAACGAGCGCAACCCUAUCUUUAUUGCCAGCAUUAAGUUGGGCACUCUAGAGAGACUGCCCGGGUUAACCGGGAGGAAGGUGGGGAUGACGUCAAGUCCUCAUGGCCCUUAUGCCUUGGGCUACACACGUAAUACAAUGGUGGGAACAAAGGGAAGCGAUCAGGUGACUGUUAGCAAAUCUCAAAAAUCCCAUCUCAGUCCGGAUUGGAGUCUGCAACUCGACUCCAUGAAGUUGGAAUCGCUAGUAAUCGCGGAUCAGCACGCCGCGGUGAAUACGUUCCCGGGCCUUGUACACACCGCCCGUCACACCAUGGGAGUUGGUUCAAUCUUAAGACGUGACUCUAACCUUCGGGGGGAGAGCGUCUACGGUGGGACCGAUGACUGGGGUGAAGUCGUAACAAGGUAGCCGUAGGGGAACCUGCGGCUGGAUCACCUCCUUUU
rnacentral:rRNA from 1 species